GACGAACGCUGGCGGCGUGCUUAACACAUGCAAGUCGAACGAAGUGGCGAACGGGUGAGUAACGCGUAAUCAACCUGCCCUUCAGAGGGGGAAAACAGUUGGAAACGACUGCUAAUACCGCAUACUGAAGGAGGGGAUUGCGUCUGAUUGGCUGGUUGGUGGGGUAACGGCCCACCAAGGCGAAGAUCAGUAGCCGGUCUGAGAGGAUGAACGGCCACAUUGGGACUGAGACACGGCCCAGACUCCUACGGGAGGCAGCCGUGGGGAAGCUUCCGCAAUGGACGGAAGUCUGACGGGGCAACGCCGCGUGAGUGAUGACGGCCUUCGGGUUGGAAAGCUCUGUUAAUCGGGACGCGGUACCGGAAUAGAAAGCCACGGCUAACUACGUGCCAGCAGCCGCGGUAAUAC
rnacentral:rRNA from 1 species